CGACCCGGUUUUUAUAAACCAGAAUUAAAAUUCUGGUUAAUUAUUUAUUUGGGUUAAACCAGCUUAAAUCAUUAAUCAUCAAUGGUUUAGUAAACCGGGUAUACUUAUAUAUUAAUUAUAAGUAUUACUUUCUUCUUAAAACCUAAAAUAAAAAGAGAAGCAGCGCAGCCAUUCUUCAUCACCAGCAUCUCUGGCCAUCUCCACGUUCUUCUCUCUCUUAGCGGGUUCAACGAUCAUAAUUGACCUUCAUCUUCCUGGAGAGUUGUUCUGCAUAACACAUUUGAGACCAGUAUUGAGGAAAUUCGGGAAUGGAUUAUCAAAUCAUGGAAUUUUGAUGCCAAAUUUUCGUGAGCGAAUCCACAAACAGUCAACUUCAUCAACGUUUUCCCGUUUAUCCAGACUGACAUAGAAAACGAGCGAGAUACCAUUGGAAAGGUCUCGUUCUCAGCUUUCCGAAUCAUCUUUUAGAUCGUCAAACCGAGUUGACCGCAUCUUCCGUUGUUCAUCUCGGUCAGUGGCUAAGGUGAGGGCUAUCCCGUUUAAAUCUCAACUAGUUUAGUAUUACUAUUAUGGAAAUUCUAGUUUCGAAACAUGUUCCGCCUCUGUGAAUCGAGUCUGUUUGAGAGUCUUGUUUAUUUAUUAUUAAUAUUGAUUGUUAAACCGGAAUAGGAUAAUAGAGGAUUCAACAGUUGAACGAAUUGAGUGAUGUUAAAACUGUUAUAUAAGUAUACAUAUAUAUAAUAUGGAUUGGUUAGCCGGAUACAGGGAAGUACUUCUGUAUCGGCCUAUUUGUGUGGAGAUUACGGGGUGUACAGGGAAGUACUUCUGUACCACGUAUUAGCUGCGGGAGUAUAGGGAAGCACUUCUGUACUACGUAGCAAUUGUUUGUGUUGUGAUUGCGGGGUGUACAUGGAAGUACUUCUGUACCACGCAUGAGCUGCGGGAGUAUAGGGAAGCACUUCUAUACUACGUAGCAUUGUGUAUGAGGAGAAUACGGGAGUAUAGGGAAGCACUUCUAUACUACGCAUACUUUUGGUAUACAUGAAUAUUUAUAUAUCUAUAUCCGUAUGAGGAAAUGCGGGGUGCAAUGAGUAGCUAUGUACCAUCAGCGCAUUGAUUGUUAUGUGUGGCCCGUUAGGUGGCAUGUUUGUUUCAUGUUAGAUCUAUGCCUACAUAGUCGUAGUGCUAUGUACUGAGUCAGUGGUUUGCGGUUUAGCAUCCUAUACCUCACUGAGUGACUUCCCUGUUACUCA